rnacentral:tRNA from 1 species
GCCUGGGUGGCUCAGUCGGUUGGGCGUCUGACUUUGGCUCAGGUCAUGAUCUCGCAGUUCGUGGGUUCGAGCCCCGUGUCGGGCU